UUAUUUAGUUAUUAUCAUUAAUGUUUAUUUUUUAUCUUAUUAAAAAUCUAUGUUGUUGUAAGGGCAUUAUUAGAAAAUGAGAUUUCAUUCUCACUUAUGUACUAGUGAUACCAAAUAUGGGAAUGGGAAUGAGAUUUCCAUUCUAGCUUCAUUCUACGAACGCACCCAAACAAGAGAAUGAGAAUGACCAUUCCAUUCCCACAUGCAAUCCAUUUCAUUCCUUCUUCCAUUCCAUUCCCAAGUCUGUCCAUUCCCGCGUACCAAACGAGGCGUAGGGGUGAAAGUUAGGUCUAUCUUUGAAAAUGUAUCAACUGAGAGGUUGUAUCUGGCAAACUCUUAAAAUUAUAUCAUAAUAUCAUUUAUUUGGACUCCAAUGCACUGGCUAUUUGUAUAUUUCAUUAGAGAUUUUUACUGCGUUCACUUUUAUCUGCAUAUUUUUUUUAAAUUAUUUCUGUGCUGACUUCAGAUGAAGGCGACAAAGGUGACGAACAGAAUGAAGUUGAGUCUGUGGAGCUCUCCAUGCGGACUAAGAGAAUGUCAAUUGCAGUGGGGCCUAGCAGUUUUGCCCCAAGGAAGAAGAAGAUUAAAAAGGCUUCCUCAACCCAUUCAUAGCUGUGGGAUCUGUAGAGUUCUUUUGUAAUGCAAAUCUGAGGUUAUAUAAUCAUUAGGUUUUUUUUACCUUGAUUGGAUCUUCAAGACUAAAUGUCAAGGCUUAAAAGAGUAGCAAAUUCCAUUAAUCCUGUGAAAUUUCUGAUCUAGCUCAGCCUAUUUUGUUGUUUAUUUAUUUAUUUAUUUAUUUUUAAUUGCUUGUAGAAGUCCUAGUAUUCACGGUUAUUGCAAUGAGAAAAAAUAAAUCGUAGGGACGUCUUCUGGAA